GGGGGGGGGGGGGGGGGGGAGUAAGCGAAGGUGUAAAGUGUUGUGAUUAUAGAGAACAUCUCGAAAUUAGCUAGAGGUUGAUGAGGUAAAUCAUCUAAAAAUGUUUCUAGGUGAACAGCUCAAAUCGGAAAUCAGAUUUUUACAGAAAGUUGUUGGAGACUGAUUGUUCAUGAAAUCACACAAUCAUUCCGGAGAUGACUAUCUAAAAGUUUUGAAAAGUGUGCAAUGACUUUCAUUGCAAACGCUGCACGCAAUGCAGCUGUAGAAACGAUGUUUGUUUUAAAUUUGACUGAUAAAAGAAAUUACUUUCUGUACAGUGCGUUAAGAAUUUGUUGAUCGUGAAGUAAAACGAGAAAGAUCUUGCUUUCACUCAAUACUGUGAUAACAGCAAAUCCAAGAAAGAUUUACUUAAGAAGAAGCGGUGAAGUGAAACCUAUGCUUUUGUAAAAAAGUAAGCUAGUAUCGUUCACGUAAAGACUGUAAUAACCCUAGUUUUUUUAUUUUAAAAUGUAGUAAGCCUGUUAUUGUCUCCGUAGUAAUGCCAAACUUUUUUAAAUAUGCGUUAGGCCUAUAUGUAGCGUAUAACAUGGGAAGUAAGAGCACGAAAACCGGAGUUGGUGCAUUUAAGCGGUGUAUACCGUCUUCAUGGCGUUUCAAGAAAUUAAAAUUUUUGGAGGAAUACUAUAUGCCACAGACAAGGAAAAAGUACACAUGUACUUGUCACAGAAGAAAGCUAUGGUAGACAAGUGUGUUGUAUGAAAGUGUUCCUGCAGCCUCUUCCACCUUUAAUAUUGCAGAAGUCCAAGAAGAUUGUGGGGAGCCUCUGGACAUUGAAAGAAGUGUUUGUGUGUGCCACAUGAUAUGCUACUGCCAGGUCCAGUGUCAUACCAGAUUCAAAGGUUGCUUCGGGUUAAAUACAAAUAUAAUAUUGCCUUUUCUACAAAUAACAGCUUGAGAAAAAAUGUCAUCCAUAAUUUGAAGUCAACUACUAGCCCUCUGCAGAAUUCUGGUGUCUACAAGAUUUCUUGUGACACUUGCGGUGCCUAUUAUAUUGGUCAAACAGGAUGUGCCUUUUCAAUUUGCUGUAAAGAACAUUUUCUGAGGGAAAACGGUUCAUGUGCCCCUAAUUCUUCUUAAGCUAAUGUGCAAGUGUGUCUUAAUUGUUCCUGUCUGCAACGUAAUGUGUAAUCUUUAUGGUGAGUAGCACUCUUUGCUGUACAUGGUUGGAAUACCAACCUGGAGUUCCUAUUGUUUGAAAUAAUUACAGAAGUUUUUUAUGAAAAGCUAAACAAUAAAAUGUUGUUAAAAUUGAA